ACGCCGCGUGAGGGAUGACGGCCUUCGGGUUGUAAACCUCUUUCAGUAGGGAAGAAGCGAAAGUGACGGUACCUGCAGAAGAAGCACCGGCUAACUACGUGCCAGCAGCCGCGGUAAUACGUAGGGUGCGAGCGUUAUCCGGAAUUAUUGGGCGUAAAGAGCUCGUAGGCGGUUUGUCGCGUCUGUCGUGAAAGUCCGGGGCUUAACCCCGGAUCUGCGGUGGGUACGGGCAGACUAGAGUGCAGUAGGGGAGACUGGAAUUCCUGGUGUAGCGGUGGAAUGCGCAGAUAUCAGGAGGAACACCGAUGGCGAAGGCAGGUCUCUGGGCUGUAACUGACGCUGAGGAGCGAAAGCAUGGGGAGCGAACAGGAUUAGAUACCCUGGUAGUCCAUGCCGUAAACGUUGGGCACUAGGUGUGGGGACCAUUCCACGGUUUCCGCGCCGCAGCUAACGCAUUAAGUGCCCCGCCUGGGGAGUACGGCCGCAAGGCUAAAACUCAAAGGAAUUGACGGGGGCCCGCACAAGCGGCGGAGCAUGCGGAUUAAUUCGAUGCAACGCGAAGAACCUUACCAAGGCUUGACAUGUUCUCGAUCGCCGUAGAGAUACGGUUUCCCCUUUGGGGCGGGUUCACAGGUGGUGCAUGGUUGUCGUCAGCUCGUGUCGUGAGAUGUUGGGUUAAGUCCCGCAACGAGCGCAACCCUCGUUCCAUGUUGCCAGCACGUCGUGGUGGGGACUCAUGGGAGACUGCCGGGGUCAACUCGGAGGAAGGUGAGGACGACGUCAA
rnacentral:rRNA from 1 species